rnacentral:lncRNA from 10 species
CGCCUGGCUAUUUUUUUUUUUUUUUGUAUUUUUAGUAGAGACGGGGUUUUGCCACGUUGGCCAGGCUGGUCUCGAACUCCUGACCUUGUGAUCCGCCCGUCUCGGCCUCCCAAAGUGCUGGGAUUACAGGCGUGAGCCACCGCGCCUGGCGGACAUUGGGAUUUAAGAUUUCAAGGCAGGAUUAGGCUGAGGUCCUCGGGUGGCCGUGUGACCUCUGCACACCCAGAAGCGCCUUCCUCCCUGCGCCUGCGCCAGGUCCAGCUUUGGGCUCCUGGGGUCUCAGCCAGUGCGCGGUCUUCCUGCCUCAGCUCCACGGGGAGCUCUUGGACGCUCCGCAGCGCUUUCGCAGAGUCCCCAGUUCUCCCGUCCCGCCGGGACUCCAGGAAGGGAAAGAGAGGCGUGGAAUUGGCAGAGCCCUGGCAGCGUGAUGAGGAAACAGACCCCAUUCUGCAGUAAUUAGAAAACGUCAUGAUACAAUGCCACGUGAAGCACACACCAGCACCUGGCAAAACGCUCAACCUGGAUCAAAUUACUGGGAAACAUCAGAUGGGUCCAGAUUACGCAGGACACUCUCCAUGACGACUGGCCUGGAAUCCUCAAAAACAGCAAUGCUGUGAAAGACAUAAAUAAAACAGAAAAAAAGGGGAAGUGUCUGAGGCCGCAAAGAGGAGAUGGAACGGGGGGGAUCCUCGUAGACACCCACGCGGACCCUCCGCCAGGCCGCGGCCCCUGCAGCCACGGUUGGACUCAGUCCCCGGGGAGUCCAGCUUUGAGGUCCCGGGCGCCUCCAGCUAGAGCCGCUUGGCUCAGUCAUCCUUGGGUGUUUUUCCCGGAAGAGCUUCAGUGAGAAGAGGAGAGAAGCUUACAGGGGCCGACAGAACCCCGAAGCGUUACCCCCGGAUUUGGACUAAACUGCUCCGUGAUCUUCGUCACGUGAGUUUAAGGCACGAUCGCGCCACUGUGCCCCAGCCUGGGCGACAGAGCGAGACCUGGCCUCAAAAAAGGAAAAUCAAUCAAUCAGUCAAUCAAUCAAUCAAUCAUCAAUCAAUCAAUCCAUCAAUCCCGGCGCAGGGCGACCCCGCGGGUCCGCAGUGGCACCAGCCACGCCGCCCUCAGCCCCCACGUCUUCCCCCGGCCCGGCAGGAGGGU